rnacentral:misc_RNA from 1 species
GAUGAAGAACGUAGCGAAAUGCGAUAAGUAAUGUGAAUUGCAGAAUUCAGUGAAUCAUCGAAUCUUUGAACGCACAUUGCGCCCGCUAGUAUUCUGGCGGGCAUGCCUGUCCGAGCGUCAUUUCAACCCUCAAGCCCCCGGGCUUGGUGUUGGGGAUCGGCGAGCCUCCGCGCCCGCCGUCCCCUAAAUCUAGUGGCGGUCUCGCUGUAGCUUCCUCUGCGUAGUAGCACACCUCACACUGGGAAACAGCGCGGCCACGCCGUUAAACCCCCAACUUCUGAACGUUUGACCUCGGAUCAGGUAGGAAUACCCGCUGAACUUAAGCAUAUCAAUAAGCGGAGGA